GUUUAUUUGGAAAUUAGAACUACAGACACAUUUUAUAUUAAUCUGGCAGACUAAAGCCAAUGUUUGAAAGGCUCUGAGUGAAGCUGUUUUCUGAAAGGAAUCAACAGUCCAAUCGCUGCCACUUUCACGCCGACGUGUUACAUGUGUUCACAAGGCUGCCAGUGGUGCUACAGAUGAAGCUACGAGCAGCAACGCAUCUCAGAUGUAAUGUCCAGCUCCCGCAAUCCCGGUUCAUCUUCACUGAUGUAGAUAUCAUCUUUAGAUGGUAUAUCCUUUUUUUCAUUCAAGACUCCUGGAGUCUCUCUCCCACAAAGAAUAGUGACAACAGUUUUCCACGGGAACACUUCAAGGAUGUGUUCGGUUGAGUCCCUCCUCGCCUCCUGCAGAAUGGUCUUAGUUAAAUCACUGAUCGUGUCUUGUCAUUGCAGGAUACCGGAAAUAUCAUCUGCAAACCUGCUCACGCCCUUCAACAUAUUGCAAGUUCAGGUAAGGUGCAUUGGGAAUACAGGCUGUGACACCGGAGCCUUUACCUGGGAGAAAGAGCGAGGUGGGGCCGGGGACAUGUUGCACCAGCAUAAGGACAAAGAGAACGGAGGGGCACGGAUGAAGCAGGUUUGAUGCCGAUGCUUGGAUCUGAGCGGUCUCAGUUCUCCCUAACAAGGAUUGCUGCUGCAGCAGAUUCCAGCAGAGAUUUAUCCAGAGAAGUUGGUAUAUUUCUCUGUAUUUCAUCAUAGGGAAAACAAGCCCAGAAUGGCCUUAAAUUCACCUUUUAUAACAUUUGGUGUGUUUGUGUGAUACAGUG
rnacentral:lncRNA from 1 species